AUGAAGUACAAUCUUCCGCUGCUGGACCGUGACACAAGGUUUACCCUAUGGCAAGUCAAGAUGCGGGCGUUGUUGGCACAGUCCGACUAUGAUGAAGCAUUGGAUAGUUUUGGGAAGAACAGAAUUCAGGACUGGACUAAUGAGGAGAACAUAAUUGAUUGCAAGGCUUUGUCACAAAUUCAACUCCAUUUGCAUAACAAUAUUUUGCAGGAAGUUUUGAGCGAGAAAACUGCCGCCGCUCUAUGGUUAAAGCUGGAAGGGAUUUGCAUGACUAAAGAUCUCACCAGCAAGAUGCAUCUGGAGCAAAAAUUAUUCCUGCACACGUUACCCGAGGGAGGUAAUGUUUUGAACCAUAUUUCUGAAUUUAAGGAGAUUAUAUCUGAUCUAGUUGCAAUGGAGGUUAAAUAUGAAGAGGAAGAUACUUCUUUAAUGUUACUUUGUUCACUGCCAAGUUCUUAUACCAAUUUUAGAGACACCAUACUAUACAGUCCUGAUACUCUCACACUUAAUGAAGUUUAUGAAGCUUUGAACUCUAAGGAGAAGACGAAAUUAAUGGUGCCUCAUGAUGGUUCGAGUUCAUAUCAAGCCGAGGGAUUAUCUGUUCAUGGCAGGACAAAGGAGAAGAACUCCAAUAAUGGAAACAAAGGCAAAAGUAAGAACGGCCACAAGGGCCGGUCGCAAUCCAGAGACAAAAAAUAUUGCAGAUAUUGCAAGAGAGACGGGCAUGACAUCUUAGAGUGUUUCAAGUUGCAGAACAAGGAAAAGAGGAAAGGUCACAAACAAGGUGAAAAUUCUGCUAACGUUACUCAUGAUGAUAGUUACGAUGAUGCUCUUGUCGUUAUUGCUGGAUGUGCUGAGACCAAUGAUGAGUGGGUACUUGACACCGCAUGCACUUUUCAUAUGUGUCCACAUAGAGAUUGGUUUAAUACUUUUGAUUUCAUUACUUCUGCUGGUUCCGUUUUGGGUUUUGAAAAUUCACCAUGCAAGAUUAAAGGCAUAGGUUCCGUUCGAAUCAAGAUGUUUAACGGCACAAUUAGAACUUUGACAGAUGUUCGGUAUAUUUCAAAGCUGAAGAGAAAUCUUAUCUCUGUUAGUGCCCUUGAUGCAAAGGGGUAUGAGUAUUCAAGUGGAGAUAGUGUUUUGUAG
rnacentral:rRNA from 1 species